AUUGAACGCUGGCGGCAUGCCUUACACAUGCAAGUCGAACGGUAACAGGUCUUCGGAUGCUGACGAGUGGCGAACGGGUGAGUAAUACAUCGGAACGUGCCUAGUAGUGGGGGAUAACUACUCGAAAGAGUGGCUAAUACCGCAUGAGAUCUACGGAUGAAAGCAGGGGAUCGCAAGACCUUGUGCUACUAGAGCAGCCGAUGGCAGAUUAGGUAGGUGGUGGGAUAAAAGCUUACCAAGCCGACGAUCUGUAGCUGGUCUGAGAGGACGAUCAGCCACACUGGGACUGAGAAACGGCCCAGACUCCUACGGGAGGCAGCAGUGGGGAAUUUUGGACAAUGGGCGCAAGCCUGAUCCAGCAAUGCCGCGUGCAGGAUGAAGGCCUUCGGGUUGUAAACUGCUUUUGUACGGAACGAAAAGCCCCGGGUUAAUACCCUGGGGUCAUGACGGUACCGUAAGAAUAAGCACCGGCUAACUACGUGCCAGCCGCCGCGGUAA
rnacentral:rRNA from 1 species